rnacentral:rRNA from 1 species
AUUGAACGCUGGCGGCGUGCUUAACACAUGCAAGUCGAUCGGUAACGCGGGGGCAAUCCUGGCGACGAGAGGCGGACGGGUGAGGAACGCUUGGGAAUCUGCCUAUCAGCGGGGGACAACCCGGGGAAACUCGGGCUAAUACCGCAUACGCUCUACGGAGGAAAGCCGGGGACCGCAAGGCCUGGCACUGAUAGAUGAGCCCAAGUCGGAUUAGCUAGUUGGCGGGGUAACGGCCCACCAAGGCGACGAUCCGUAGCUGGUCUGAGAGGACGAUCAGCCACACUGGGACUGAGACACGGCCCAGACUCCUACGGGAGGCAGCAGUGGGGAAUAUUGGACAAUGGGGGAAACCCUGAUCCAGCGACGCCGCGUGGGUGAAGAAGGCCUGCGGGUUGUAAAGCCCUUUCGGUAGGGACGAAAGCUCUCGACCUAACACGUCGGGAGGUUGACUUAACCUACAAAAGAAGCACCGGCUAACUCUGUGCCAGCCGCCGCGGUAAUAC